GCGGGGGGCGGGGUGCGGGGAGAGGAAAGCGCCGCGGGUGGCACGGUGCCUCUGGCGACAGAGUAGAUGGACCCGAAAGAGACCCGAGGUGACUUCGGGCUGGGCAGGACACCCCCGGGAGUUGCCAGCGGCUCUCAGCGGGCGCCUCUAGGACCCCUUGUCACUGCGAGCAGCGCCUGCUCUGGGGAGGGGCUCGAAGGCGCCGCGCCUUCUCAACGCGCCGCUGCGUCCCCCAGGGGCUCCAACUUGGACAGCUAGACUGGAAAUACUGCUGCACAAAGUUAGGCUGAGUUCGAAGGACACCAGAGAGGAAGCGCAAGGAGAUGCCCUUCUCCGGAGCCGGGCAGAGCGCCAGAACUCCUAGACGGGAAACUUUCCCCCAUUGAAGCUAGAACCGGUCAUGCGACUCGGCUAAGUGUGGGGAAACACUGGCUCUAGACUCCAGCUAUACCACAGGAAACUCUCUAAAAAGAGCAGUAUGAGUACUAUGAGAAAUGAGCCAAUUCUAAUCUUCCCUACAUGCAGAAGGCACUGUCACAGAUGGUGAGCACACAGCCACAUAAGGCUAUGACCCUUCUCUACUCAUCCCCUCUUUGUGUGGUUGUACCUUGAGGAAUCAGAAGCUCAGCUGCUGAGCACAAAACAAGAUAAUCAAAGAUGGUGGAAGAAGUCAAUUGGAUGUCUCCUCCCUAAUGGGGUUUCCAGAUCUGAAGCAGUGUCAAGCUGAUAGAAGAGACAAGGGAGGAUGAUGUUGACAACAGAUGUUGACCAUGUGGAUGUAACAGGUCAGCGCUUUGCCCUGGAAAGCACUUGUUAACAGCAGCUCAAGAGAGAAUACCCAAUGAAGCAAUUAUGUGUGGAGAUAUCUGAAGGUGAGGGUUCAGUGGAUGCAUGUGCAAGUUUGCUACCUGGGUAAACCACAUGACGCUAAGUUUGAGAUAUGAAUGAUCACGUCAUUCAGAUAGUGAGUAUAGUACCCAACAGGUAGUUUUUCAAUCCUUGCCCCACCCCAACACUCCCUUAUCUAGUAGCCACCAGUGUCUAUUGUUCCCAUCUUUAUGUCCAUGUGUACUCAAUGUUUAGUUCCCAUUUAUAAAUGAGAACAUGCAUUAUUUGGUUUUCUGUUCCUUCAUUCAUUUGCUUAGGAUAAUGUCCUCCAGCUGCAUCCAUGUUGCUGCAAAAGACGUGAUUUCCUUCUUUUUCAUGGCUGUGUAGUAUUCCAUGCUAUAUAUGCACCACAUUUUCUUUAUCCAGUCCCAAUCUGUAUUUUAAAUAAUCCCUGUGGGAAUUCUGAUGCAGAUGGUUAGCCCCUCAUACUUCAGAAAAUACAGAUCAGAGGCACAUGAAGUCAGAGAAAUGUGUGGCUGUUUUUGACAUGCAUGCUUUGCUCAGAUAGCGCUUGGAAAGAAGGCCACUUACCUGGUUUUGUUCACUCUACGGGCCAACAAUUGGCUGCAUGGUCAACAUGUGAUUUAAAAAUUAAGAUACUUCCUUAAACCACUGCUGAAGGAGUCAGUGACUUGAGGUUUCAAAAAACAACACAAAAACUAGUUGAAAAGGACUCAACCUGGAAUGUAGAAUAAAAUAUUUAUUAUUUACUCAACAGUUAAUGUAAACAAACAUGUAUACAGCAAACUCUUAGGAGCUGUUAAUUUCUCAUUCCUCUUCACAGAAUGACUAAAGAAGCUUUAGCGUAGAUGAGGUGGGGGUAAUGUUUUUGUCCUCUUAUUGCACGACUCCUCAUUUAUUUGACUUGGCUUAAUGGGAUCUACUGAUUCUUAUCUUGCCUCACAAAUGUGAAUGUCAAUUCCGGCAUGUGGUACACUGUGCUAAUUUUAAUAUUUUUAGACUAUUUGUAAUUGUUCAUAAAGAUCUUCAUCAAUUAUACCUCUA
rnacentral:lncRNA from 10 species